AGGACGACGCUGGCGGCGUGCCUAAUACAUGCAAGUCGAACGGUCUUUCUAUGGAAGCUUGCUUCCACUGAGAAGAUAGUGGCGAACGGGUGAGUAACGACGUGGGUAACCCUGCCCAUAAGAGGGGGGAUAACAUCCGGAAACGGGUGCUAAUACCGCCAUAGUUUUCUUGAUCGCAUGAUCGGGAAAGGAAAGACGGCCUUUGUGCUGUCGCUUAUGGAUGGACCCGCGGCGUAGUUAGUUAGUUGGUGAGGUAACGGCUCACCAAGACGAUGAUACGUAGCCGACCUGAGAGGGUGAUCGGCCACAUUGGGACUGAGACACGGCCCAAACUCCUACGGGAGGCAGCAGUAGGGAAUCUUCCGCAAUGGACGAAAGUCUGACGGAGCAACGCCGCGUGAGUGAAGAAAGGUUUUCGGAUCGUAAAACUCUGUUGUCAGAGAAGAACAAGUUGGAGAGUAACUGCUCCAGCCUUGACGGUAUCUGACCAGAAAGCCACGGCUAACUACGUGCCAGCCGCCGC
rnacentral:rRNA from 1 species